rnacentral:lncRNA from 1 species
GUAUCUCCAUGGAGAGAACAGGAUGGGGAUGGAUCUCUCUGGAGUACCCUCAGAGCUGGUACCUGCCGCACAGACAGCCUGACUGAAAAGCAGGCGAACAGUCUCCCUGUGACAAGCUCACCAACUUUAGGAAAGCAACUUGCCAAAGAUUUCCACAGUGGCAAAGAUAGGUAAGUUGUGACCAGUUACAACCUGAAGGACACCAUCCUGCUUCGAUGUGAUUAGAGGGUCUGUCACUUCCAGCUGCCCAUCCCAACUUUGCCUAUGAGGGAGGAGAGUGGAAACCCCAGUCUAAGAAGGGGUUGUUUGAUUGCAGUCGCAUUUCUUUCCAUUUAAGCGACUCUGCAAUGGAGUCGCUUCUCCACUCCUCCAAUGCCCUUCAGCAGCACUGAUAGAACCUCCACUCCUUUUAAAAGAGUGAGAAGGAGCAAAGGUUUCUUUCAAACAGGGACAAUCAUUUCUGCUCAUCUGAUUACUCCUCCCCGAGAUAUUCAACUUGAGUACUUUCCUUUACAAACUGAAAAAAAUCACAGAGCAAAGGUGUUUGGUGAAAGCAGCCCUGUCCACUACACCCCCCUCCUAGGCAGCCCAUAGGACCCAAACCUUUAGCAGAAACUUUGAAACAAAAUCAAGCUAACUUUUCCUUCCUUCUUUCGUUUCCUUCUUCUCCCUUCCUAAUUCAUUUUCUUUUUCCACUCAAAGAGAACUUCAUUCCCUUCUCUGAGACAGGAAGACCAGCAAUUUCAUUUUUUGUUAAAACACGCAUGUUGUCUGUGUGAUUUCCCAGAGACUGGUGGUGGAAGCCGGGAGACUGGGAAGGUAGGCCUUUCUUCCCAGAUGGCUACUAAUCAUGAAGGAAACUGGAGCAUUCUAGGACCUGCUGCCUGAAAUCAGGGGUGAAAGCAACAAACUUUGCAAGUUUCAAACCGGCUGCAAGUGGUGGCAGCCUGCAGCAGAGCCUUGCCAUUCUGGAGAGCUCUUUCCUGCUUCCAAGGCUGUGUGGAGAUAGUGGGGUAUAAUCAGAGGACUAUAAAGGGGGGGGCUGGCUCUCCCCCUCCUCUCUAGCCUUAGUGAAAGUGUUACAAAGUGAGUCAGGCGGCUGAGGAUCAUCUGACUGAACUUUCUUGAAACCUACACUCAUUCUUGUCUGCUGGCUAUUUAUUUGCUUUUUACCCCUUUCCCUAAUCCCACCUCCCCUUUCUUCCCUGCACAUCUGAUUUUCUAGGAAAAGGUUUCCUGCUUUCCCUGUGGGUGAAAGGAGAGGAACUAGCCAUUCUUAACUUGGUCCUGGCACUGUCUUUACUAGGCAUCUUGCUGGCCCGGAGAAUAUUGGUGCUUGGAUUUUUUAGAUUGUUCCUCUCUGUCUAUAAUGGUAUCCCCUGAUCUGCCUCUCUCGCCUAGGCUUU